CACAAGUCAUCAUGUUCCCUGUUAUACUGACAUUCAUGUGGCUUUUACUGAGUGACUCCAUGGCAGAUCCAAUAAAGCCACUUUUUACUGAUAAAGUUAUAAAUGAAGGUGAUGAUGUUACUCUGUCCUGCAGCUACAAAGACUUCAGUGGCACUGUAGAAAACCUGUACUGGUACAGAAAAUAUACAAAAUCUGAACCUGAGUUCCUAAUUUACAUCUUUCCACAUGGAGUUAAAAGUGACCCUAUCCAACCAAAUCUGUCUGCUGAAGUUAAGAAAGAUAUUAAACAAGUGGAUCUGCUCAUCUCCUCUGCUGCUGUAUCAGACUCUGCAUUAUACUACUGUGCUCUGAAGCCCACAGUGACAGGAAAUCCAACUGCACUGUACAAAAACCUUGACACAGUUUUGUCAUUUUAA